rnacentral:tRNA from 1 species
UGGUCAUUAGCUCAGUUGUUAGAGCAAUGGUUUUCGAACCAUAUGUCACGGGUUCAAUUCCCGUAUGACCAU